UGAACAACGACUACAUCUUACACGGCACCCCUCACUCUUUCCCAUCCACUUUGUAGCUUUCUCUUGCAAAUCUGUUUUCUAUAACCUAGGGUUCCUGUAAUUCCAGACAUUUCAAGCGCCAUCCGCGGCUUCAACGCCCGGAUGGGGAGGCUCGGGAAUAUCAUCGAGCGGAUGCGAGACGUUCCGUGGCGGAGCGUUGCCAAGGAAGCCGCUGAUAGAUCCUUCAUCGUUGCUAAGUUCCUCUGCUUCUGCCACGUCACCAACAACUACCUCUGCUCCAUUGCUCUCGUCUAUGGCCCAAGCAUGCUCCCGACCAUCAAUCUGACGGGUGAUCUCGUUCUGGUGGAUCGUGUCUCCCACCGCAUCGGACAUGUCGGCCUUGGCGACAUCGUUCUCCUCCGUUCCCCUGAAAAUCCCAGAAAGACCGUCACGAAGCGUAUCACCGGCAUGGAAGGUGACACGGUCACCUUCGCAGUCGAUCCCAAGCAGGGCGAUAGAUGGAAGACCGUCAUUGUGCCAAAGGGGCACAUAUUUGUUCAGGGCGAUAACAUCUUCUCAUCGAACGAUUCGCGGAAUUUCGGCGCUGUUCCUUACGCGCUCGUUCAAGCAAAAGCGCUUAUCAGAAUAUGGCCUCCAAGUGCUUUUGGGCCGCUUGGAUGAGGAGUAGCUCUUUCAUCUCUCUGCUGAGGUACUUCUCAAAUGCAUUAUAAUGACUUGUCAUUCAUUAGAAUGGUUUUAUGCUGGUUUCAAGGCCCAUGGAUAUCAGUCUACACCAGGCAGGAAAACAGUGUCCCUACCAAAGAAGUUUCACUGUUCUAAUUUUUAAAGCCGGACUGCCCAAAUAAAACUGUAGGAAGCCUAUUCUAGUUCGACAAGAACGUACUGCCAUCAAUUGAGCCUUGGUUAGUGCUUUCUGAUUUUCGAUACUGGCUUCGUCAUAUAUGGUUGAGUUCCUGCUGCUGUUCUGAUCAUCAAUUGACUCUUUUUUGUAUCAAUAUUUUCUAGGUAUUAGACUUCUGAGUGAAAAACUUAGGCAAAAGCAUGCUUGCUAUUAAAGCAAAAAUAGAAAAAUAGAAAAAAAAAGAAGAAGAAAAAAAGGCCUGUAGUCUUGUUUUAAUGACAUCAUUAAUGUAUGCUCCUCGUGCCAUUUUUUCAUCUGAUUAAUAUAAAACAAAUGGAAAAAAUUUUGGCA